rnacentral:rRNA from 1 species
UGAGGAAUAUUGGUCAAUGGGCGCGAGCCUGAACCAGCCAAGUAGCGUGAAGGAUGAAGGUCCUAUGGAUUGUAAACUUCUUUUAUAGCAGAAUAAAGUGACCCACGUGUGGGUUUUUGUAUGUAUGCUAUGAAUAAGGAUCGGCUAACUCCGUGCCAGCAGCCGCGGUAAUACGGAGGAUCCGAGCGUUAUCCGGAUUUAUUGGGUUUAAAGGGUGCGUAGGUGGUUUGAUAAGUCAGCGGUGAAAGUUUGCAGCUUAACUGUAAAAAUGCCGUUGAAACUGUCGGCCUUGAGUGUAAAUGAGGUAGGCGGAAUGCGUGGUGUAGCGGUGAAAUGCAUAGAUAUCACGCAGAACUCCGAUUGCGAAGGCAGCUUACUAAGCUACAACUGACACUGAAGCACGAAAGCGUGGGGAUCAAACA